rnacentral:tRNA from 1 species
GGGUAGCCUAGUGGACAUGGCAUCUGCCCGGUAAGCGGAACACUGUGGGUUCGAUUCCCACCCUGGGCA